rnacentral:lncRNA from 1 species
AACUUCAUUUUAUCAUUCCACCUUGUACACAUAUUACAUGAAUGUAUACAGCUGUGAUUUGUCAAUUUUUUAAAAAUUUAAAAGAGAAAGAGUCAUGGAAUUAGAGUAAGAAAAACCAAAAGAAGAAGGAUAAAUCAAAGAGAGUGAAGAAAGAGGAAGAGAAAGAAGAGAAAACAGAGAAAGGGAGAAACAGAUUAAGGGAGAGAAAGUGAAUACAGCGAGGAAGAAAAUUUUACAUAUAUACAUACACUCAUAUACAUUAAUUUAUGCAUACUAGUUGGCUAUAUAUAUAUUUGUGCAUUCUUUUCUAUACGUAGAAGAUUGGAAGAUGAAGCUGAGAAAACAUCUCAGCAUGCACAAUUAAAAAAAAAAUGAAUGAAAAUAGAAGAAACUUAAGAUUAUGAGAGCAACCCAUGAAGUCCAACAUCUGAAAAAUGAGAGUUACAGAAGAAAAAAUGGACAAAAGAGACAUGGAGAUCAAAUUAUCAAAGCAAUUAUACAUUUUCCCAUAAUUGAAUGACAUGACUUUGCAGGUUAAAAGGCUCACCAACUGUCUGUUAUGAUAAUUAAAAUAUGACUCCACAACCAGUAAUGGAUUAAAUAUAUCCCUAAAUCUUCUAGUGAGAUAAAAGAGGUCAAAUACAAAGGAAAUAGGCUUUGAACUCCUUUACAGCAAGUUUGGAAAUAAGAAAACAAGGAAUGAAUGUUUGCAAAAUUUUAACAACUAAUCGUCUCCAACUUUGAAUUCUAUACACAGCCAUUGGACCAAACAAGGGGACAAAAUGGCAGCAGCCAGCCUGACCAUUCCCUUCCCAUCAUGAGGGAGAGGGCUGUGGUAUGGACAGCAGCAGCUGACUGGCCACAGGUGCAGCCACUGCCAUCCAGCCCCGACUCAUUCCUAGAAUAAGAACCACCAGACUGCCCUCUGACACCUGCCUCAGCGGUCCCCACCACUCCUCAAACCCUGUCACCGUCCACAGACAAGCCCUGGAGGGGUGGGGAAAAGGUGGGGCUCUGGGGCUUCUUUUUCAGAGAUGGGAGGUGCACAGGCUGGGGAGGAACCCCCAGAGUAUGCAAUCUUUUAGGACUGGCUUCUUUCACUUAGCAGUAUGCAUUUAAGAUUUUUUAUUGUUGUUGUUUGGGGUUUUGUUGUUGCUGUUGUUGUUCUUGUUGUUUCUUUUGGUUGUUGUUGUUGUUGUUUUGAGACAGGGUCUCACUCUAUCGCCCAGGCUGAAGUGCAGUGGUGCAAUUAGGCUCACUGCAACUUCUACCUCCCAAGUUUAAGCCAUUCUCGUGCCUCAACCUCCACAGGAGCUGGGAUUAUAGGUGCGCACCACCAUGCCUGGCUACAUUUAAGGUUUAUACAUAUAUAUAUUUUGUGUGUGUGUGUGUGUGUGUGUGGCUUGAUAGCUUACUUUUUAACUUCUGAAUAGUAUUUCAUUGUAUGGAUAUGCCAUAGUUUGUUUAUUCAUUCACCUGUUGAAGUUUUUGGUGAUUAUGAAUAAGGCUGCUAUAAACAUAAGCAUGCAGGGUUUUGUACAGACAAAAGUUUUUAACUCAAUUGUUUAAUUACCUAGGAGCGUAAUUGUGGGACUGGAUUGUAACAUUGUCUUUAGCAUUGUCAGAAACUGCUAAACUGUCUUCUGAGGUUUCAAUGUUAUUUUACAUUUCUAAUAGCAAUGAAUGAGAGUUCCUUUUGCUCUCCAUCUUUGCCAGUAGCUGGUAGUGCCAGUUUUUUGUUUUUAUUUUAGCCAUUCUAAUGGGUGUGUAGUGGUAUUUCAUUAUUGUUUAAUUUGCAAUUUUCUAAUGACGUAUAAUGUUGAGCAUCUUUUCACACGUUUGUCUGCCUCUAAAUGUCUUCUUUGGUAAGGUUUCUGUUCAGAUUUUUUGCCUAUUUCUUAAUUAGGUUGCUUAUUUUCUUUGUUGAGUUUCAAGAGUUGUUUAUAUGUUUUACAAACAAAUUAUUUAUCAGAUAAGGGUUUUGUAUAUAUUUCCUUCUACUUCAUGCCUUGUCUUUUGAUGGUCUUAACAUUGCCUCUCACAGAGCAAAACACUUAAAUUUUAAUAAAGACAACUAUUUUUU